rnacentral:rRNA from 1 species
UACAGAGGUCCCAAGCGUUGUUCGGAUUCAUUGGGCGUAAAGGGUGCGUAGGCGGCGCGGUAAGUCGGGUGUGAAAUCUCGGAGCUUAACUCCGAAACUGCAUUCGAUACUGCCGUGCUUGAGGACUGGAGAGGAGACUGGAAUUUACGGUGUAGCGGUGAAAUGCGUAGAUAUCGUAAGGAAGACCAGUGGCGAAGGCGGGUCUCUGGACAGUUCCUGACGAUGAGGCACGAAGGCCAGGGGAGCAAACGGG